rnacentral:rRNA from 1 species
GUCCACGCCGUAAACGAUGCAUGCUAGGUGUUGGGGCGUUAGCCUCAGUACCACAGCCAACGCGUUAAGCAUGCCGCCUGGGGAGUACGGCCGCAAGGUUAAAACUCAAAGGAAUUGACGGGGACCCGCACAAGCGGUGGAGCAUGUGGUUUAAUUCGAUGCAACGCGAAAACCUUACCACCUUUUGACAUCCUGAUCACCGGAAGUGUUAUAGCUUCCUUCGGUUCGGCCGGAUCAGUGACAGGUGUUGCAUGGCUGUCGU